CUUGACCGAGCCGAGCCACAACGGCCGCUGCGCCGGGCGGUCCGGCCCGUACGCCGCCUGCAACGCCUGUGCCUC
rnacentral:antisense_RNA from 1 species